rnacentral:tRNA from 1 species
AGGGAUGUAGUUCAGCCUGGUAGAACACGUGGUUUGGGACCAUGAGGUCGCUGGUUCGAGUCCAGUCAUCCCUACCA